GCUCCGGUGGCCUAGUGGUUAGAGCGUCCGCCUCGUAUGCGGGAGGUCGUGGGUUCGAUCCCCGGUCGAGUCA